rnacentral:rRNA from 1 species
CCUACGGGUGGCUGCAGUGGGGAAUAUUGCACAAUGGGCGCAAGCCUGAUGCAGCCAUGCCGCGUGUGUGAAGAAGGCCUUCGGGUUGUAAAGCACUUUCAGCGGGGAGGAAGGCGUUAAGGUUAAUAACCUUGGCGAUUGACGUUACCCGCAGAAGAAGCACGGGCUAACUCCGUGCCAGCAGCCGCGGUAAUACGGAGGGUGCAAGCGUUAAUCGGAAUUACUGGGCGUAAAGCGCACGAAGGCGGUCUGUCAAGUCGGAUGUGAAAUCCCCGGGCUCAACCUGGGAACUGCAUUCGAAACUGGCAGGCUAGAGUCUUGUAGAGGGGGGUAGAAUUCCAGGUGUAGCGGUGAAAUGCGUAGAGAUCUGGAGGAAUACCGGUGGCGAAGGCGGCCCCCUGGACAAAGACUGACGCUCAGGUGCGAAAGCGUGGGGAGCAAACAGGAUUAGAUACCCGAGUAGUC